AACCGGAGGGCCGUGACCCUGGUGGAGUCCGGGGGUGACCUCAAGGCCCCGGGGGAGUCCCUGCGGCUCCUCUGCCGCGCCUCCGGCUUCACCUUCGGGGACUACACCAUGUACUGGGUGCGCCAGAGCCCCGGGAAGGGGCUGGAGUGGGUCGCUGGGAUCGAUGAUGAUGGUGGUAGGACCAGAUACGCGCCGUCGGUGCAGGGCCGGUUCACCAUCACCAGGGACAACGGGCAGAGCUCGGUGACGCUGCAGAUGAACAACCUCAGGGAGGAGGAUUCCGCCACCUAUUUCUGCGCCAGAAAUGCUUAUACUGGUGGUGGUUGGAGUGCUGGUGGUGGUAUCGAUGCCCUUGACGGGGUCCCCACCUGUCCCCAAAGCCCAGACCCUCCCCCCAAACCUCCACUCUUUGGACCCAGUCAUCAGAUUAAUUCAACAGAAUCAACCAAUAAAUUAAUUAACAGGACGCCUGUGAUUAAUUCCAGUGGCUCAACCAAUUAA